rnacentral:rRNA from 1 species
UUGACUGUGCUAAGGUAGCAUAAUAAAUUGGCUUUUAAUUGAAGUCGGGAAUGAAAGGGUGUUUGGAGUUAUUCUGUCUUAUUUUUAUUUUUUUGAAAUUACUAAUGAGGUGAAAAUUCCUCAGUAUUAUUUGAUAGACGAGAAGACCCUAAGAAUUAUUACAACUAUUAAAAAAUUAAUAAAAGUUUUUGUUGGGGCAACAGCUUUGGAAAUAAGUAACCAAAGUUAAAUUUAUUUUAAACAUAAAAAUUUUACUGAAAAUGAAUUUAAUUACCUUAGGGAUAACAGCAUAAUUAUAUAUUUAGAUUGUGACCUCGAUGUUGGAUUAAGGCCU